UUACGGGGGGCAGCAGUGGGGAAUAUUGGACAAUGGGCGAAAGCCUGAUCCAGCCAUGCCGCGUGUGUGAAGAAGGCCUUCGGGUUGUAAAGCACUUUCAGUGGGGAAGAAAGCCUUGGGGCUAAUACCCUCGAGGAAGGACAUCACCCACAGAAGAAGCACCGGCUAACUCCGUGCCAGCAGCCGCGGUAAUACGGAGUGUGCGAGCGUUAAUCGGAAUUACUGGGCGUAAAGCGCGCGUAGGCGGUCUGAUAAGCCGGUUGUGAAAGCCCCGGGCUCAACCUGGGAACGGCAUCCGGAACUGUCAGGCUAGAGUGCAGGAGAGGAAGGUAGAAUUCCCGGUGUAGCGGUGAAAUGCGUAGAGAUCGGGAGGAAUACCAGUGGCGAAGGCGGCCUUCUGGACUGACACUGACGCUGAGGUGCGAAAGCGUGGGUAGCAAACAGGAUUAGAUACCCUAGUAGUC
rnacentral:rRNA from 1 species